UGGGGAAUAUUGCGCAAUGGGGGGAACCCUGACGCAGCCAUGCCGCGUGAAUGAAGAAGGCCUUCGGGUUGUAAAGUUCUUUCGGUAUUGAGGAAGGUUGAUGUGUUAAUAGCACAUCAAAUUGACGUUAAAUACAGAAGAAGCACCGGCUAACUCCGUGCCAGCAGCCGCGGUAAUACGGAGGGUGCGAGCGUUAAUCGGAAUAACUGGGCGUAAAGGGCACGCAGGCGGUUAUUUAAGUGAGGUGUGAAAGCCCCGGGCUUAACCUGGGAAUUGCAUCUCAGACUGGGUAACUAGAGUACUUUAGGGAGGGGUAGAAUUCCACGUGUAGCGGUGAAAUGCGUAGAGAUGUGGAGGAAUACCGAAGGCGAAGGCAGCCCCUUGGGAGUGUACUGACGCUCAUGUGCGAAAGCGUGGGGAGCAAACAGGAUUAGAUACCCUGGUAGUCCACGCUGUAAACGCUGUCGAUUUGGGGGUUGGGGUUUAACUCUGGCGCCCGUAGCUAACGUGAUAAAUCGACCGCCUGGGGAGUACGGCCGCAAGGUUA
rnacentral:rRNA from 1 species